rnacentral:lncRNA from 1 species
UAGACAAUCAAACUGUGUAAUAAUAUUUUCAUACAAAAAAAUUGCUAUUGUAUUUGUAUUAUUGGUUUUCGUAGCUAUUGCUUCAGCCUAUUUUGUUACGUAAUCCAUUACUACCAAUAUAUAUCAUUUUUGUCUAUUUUUCGAGGCUGGUGCAAUUGGUUCUACAAAAUCAAUUCUCCAUUUUUCAAAAGGCGCUUGAGCCAGAAUUGGUACCAAUAGCAUUGCUAAAGUUCCA